UUGUGUACCUUGAAAGCCAUAUAAAGUCAAAUGUGAUUUGUGCGGAGAUGUGUUUAACAACCACUAUAAAACCAUACAUGAAAAUAAACAUCACCCGGGCAAAAUAGUGAGAGUUCGCAUUGUUGGAGCUCCAGAAAAUCCUUUUGAGGCGGCAAAGAGAAAAAAUAUAUACAAAGAUUCACGUUUAGAAGAAAAUGACUCAAGAGACGUAGCCCUAGAAAUUAAUGAACCAUCAACCUCUUCUAAAUGUAUUUCUCCUGUUCAGCCUGUUCUCAUGGAAGUCGUUGAAAAUUCGACAAAUUCCGGUAAUGAUGAAUGUAAUAACCCUGCAAAGAAAAUGAAAACUGUCGGCGCCUUGGUUGUGUCACUUCCUGAGAGAAUUUCGGAAGGAUCUGAUGAAGCCAUAUCCCAAAAUAAAAACAUCGAAUCUGACUCAAUUGGUAAAAACUCUGUCUCAGAGAAGAUGAUGAUGCAUCUGACCAUAAUUUAGUAUUAAAUAAUGGCGGCUACAACAAUAGGGACGGAAUGUUUGGGAAUGUUACAGUUCUUAUUGGAUUUGUUUCCUCUGCUAAAAGAAGUCUCAAAAGGUGUUGAAAAUACUGAUGUUGUAGAUCAAUAUUUAGUUGCAUUAAAUAUCAAAGAAAA